rnacentral:rRNA from 1 species
CCCCUAGAUGUUCUGGGCCGCACGCGCGCUACACUGAACAGUUCAACAAGUCUUAACCUUGGCCGAUAGGUCUGGGUAAUCUUUGAACGCUGUUCGUGAUUGGGAUAGACCUUUGCAAUUAUGGGUCUUCAACGAGGAAUUCCUAGUAAACGCAAGUCAUCAGCUUGCAUUGAUUACGUCCCUGCCCUUUGUACACACCGCCCGUCGCACCUACCGAUUGAAUGGUCCGGUGAAUAAUUCGGACUGCAGCACUGCUUGGUCUCCAGGCUUUGCAGCGGAAAGUUUAGUGAACCUUAUCACUUAGAGGAAGGAGAANUCGUAACA